GGGGGGCGGUUGAGGAGCGGAUGGAGGGCGGUUGAGGAGCCGCUGAGGGACGGCUGAGAACCCGCCGAGGAGCGGCUGCUGGGGCGCCGUGCGGCGGGCGGUCUCCCCUCAGGUGCCGCGGCGGCGCAGGGAGCCCCGGCGCCCGGCCGGUACGCGCCUCGCGCAGCGCGGCCCGGGCGGCAGCGGCUGCCGAGCCUGAGCCAGGCGUCUUUGGGCGCUGGGGCCUCCGCCGCAGCCCGUGCCGACGGGAAGCGCCGCGACUGAGCGUUGCAAGAGCUCGGACAAAGGGAGAGGCCUGUCCUGACCUUGGUGUCGGAUGGUCGGGGCAGAGAUUUAAGGUACACGGUCCAUCAUUUCAAAAUGGCAAUGUGCAUUUGUGAGCCUAAACAGUUCCCUGGUCAGGAACUGCUCUUCAGUCUUGAGAUUGAAAUCAGCAUGGUUUUAGGCUGUGAGAAGCUAUCUGCAAAGGAUGGAAUGCAUCAGCUGACAAGAAUCCCCACUUCAGUUUCACAGAGAAGGGAAGUGAGAGACUCCAGAUGAAACAUGUGAUUAAGAAAUGAUGGUAGAAAAUAAUUCAAAAUCCAACCAAUGAUGAAUUC